CCCAAGGGUUGGGCUGUUCGCCCAUUAAAGUGGUACGCGAGCUGGGUUCAGAACGUCGUGAGACAGUUCGGUCCCUAUCCGUCGCAGGCGUAGGAAAUUUGAGAAGGCCUGUCCUUAGUACGAGAGGACCGGGAUGGACGUACCUCUGGUGUACCAGUUGUCCUGCCAAGGGCAUGGCUGGGUAGCUAUGUACGGAAUGGAUAAGCGCUGAAA
rnacentral:rRNA from 1 species